GAUUUUACAAAAGAGUGACUGUAUGGAGUCACUGAAACCAAACAGGAAAAAAAAAAAAAAAAAAAAAAGAGGAAAAAAAGGCUUCACAUUGAAAGUAAAGGCCAAGAAAGAAAUAAGCCACACAAAAGUGUGAGCAAAGGAAAAAAGUGUCCAUCUUUUUUGUUUGUCUUUGACUGGAAAGGCCUUUGACCCUAGGCAAUACUGUGCAGUGAAUACUUUUGUCCUUUGUCAUAUUUUACUUCCUCCUUUCAUGACAACCCCGACAAGUAGCCUGUGUACCAUUCCUGGAGGGUCUGGCCCGGAGCUGACAACUAAUCCCUGAGGACACCAACGAUUGUACCUGUGUGUCGCACUACAACACUGGCAGAAGUAGAAGCUGCACGAGAGAGUGGGGAAGAAAAAGCAAGAAGGGUAGAAAUGGGAUGAUAAUCAAAUGCCCCAGGACUUUGAAACUUCAAAAAAAAGAGUAUCAGAAAAGAGAGAAGAUAAAUGUGUGUGAA
rnacentral:lncRNA from 1 species